GCUUCACAGAGCAAUAUCUUGGGCUGCGUGUGCAGAGCGUAGACAAUGAAAAUCUCCGCCCCCUCCCCCAUGCUCUCAAGUCUACAAGAUUUUUUUCUUUCCUUCACAACGAUGGAAGCUAUGUAAAAAUCAAAUACACAGAGAUGUACAAAUUUUUUUUUAAAGCACAGACUAACAAACCGAAGGACCUGACCAUGGAUUAUUCAAGGACUCACCUGCUGGGGAGCGCUCUGGGGUCUCCGCACAAAACCUGCUUUUGAGCCCUUUGGCUUUCUUCAGGCGAGCGCAGUCCGUCCAUCCCCCUGGCCCACCCAGCCGCAAGGGAUGCUGUGAAAAGAGCCGCUGCUUGCCGCCUCCGGCCUGCCGUCCAGAGGGCUCCGCCCGUAGAGGCUUAUAUGGAGUAAAAUAAUGUAUAAUGCUGUAUGACCUCAGCACCGUGAAUUUGGAAGUUCCAGCAUGUUGUGAAGCAGACACAUCUUUGCUAUGGACACUGUGACUCACUACAUCAGUGCUGGUAGAAUAAAAUGCUUC
rnacentral:lncRNA from 1 species